rnacentral:rRNA from 1 species
GGACUACCGGGGUAUCUAAUCCUGUUUGCUCCCCACGCUUUCGCGCCUCAGCGUCAGUCUCGGUCCAGAGCGCCGCCUUCGCCACCGGUGUUCUUCCCAAUAUCUACGAAUUUCACCUCUACACUGGGAAUUCCACGCUCCUCUCCCGAACUCCAGCCCCGCCGUCUCGCGCGCACCUCCCAGGUUGAGCCCGGGGCUUUCACACGCGACAAACAGAGCCGCCUACGCGCCCUUUACGCCCAGUGAUUCCGAACAACGCUCGCCCCCUUCGUAUUACCGCGGCUGCUGGCAC